rnacentral:sRNA from 1 species
UGACAACCAGCUCCGUGUUGAUGAGCCU